AAAGUCGUAACAAGGUCUCCGUUGGUGAACCAGCGGAGGGAUCAUUACCGAGUUUACAACUCCCAAACCCUAUGUGAACCAUACCUAUCGUUGCUUCGGCGGGUCACGCCCCCGCGCCCUCGCGGCGCCGGGAACCAGGCGCCCGCCGGAGACCCCAAACCCAAUGUUUUUCAUGCAGUAUUUCUGAGUGGCAAACGCAAAAAAAAAAUAAAUCAAAACUUUCAACAACGGAUCUCUUGGCUCUG
rnacentral:misc_RNA from 1 species